rnacentral:rRNA from 1 species
UACGAAGGGGGCUAGCGUUGUUCGGAAUCACUGGGCGUAAAGCGCACGUAGGCGGAUCUUUAAGUCAGGGGUGAAAUCCCGAGGCUCAACCUCGGAACUGCCUUUGAUACUGGGGAUCUCGAGUCCGGGAGAGGUGAGUGGAACUGCGAGUGUAGAGGUGAAAUUCGUAGAUAUUCGGAAGAACACCAGUGGCGAAGGCGGCUCACUGGCCCGAUACUGACGCUGAGGCACGAAAGCGUGGGGAGCAAACAGG